CAGUAGCCACGGUAAUACAGAGGGUGCGAGCGUUAAUCGGAUUUACUGGGCGUAAAGCGUGCGUAGGCGGCUUCUUAAGUCGGAUGUGAAAUCCCUGAGCUUAACUUAGGAAUUGCAUUCGAUACUGGGAAGCUAGAGUAUGGGAGAGGAUGGUAGAAUUCCAGGUGUAGCGGUGAAAUGCGUAGAGAUCUGGAGGAAUACCGAUGGCGAAGGCAGCCAUCUGGCCUAAUACUGACGCUGAGGUACGAAAGCAUGGGGAGCAAACAGGAUUAGAUACCCCUGUAGUCCCUGUCUCUUAUAU
rnacentral:rRNA from 1 species